ACGAACGCUGGCGGCGUGCUUAACACAUGCAAGUCGAACGCGCCUGUCCUCUGGGUUUCUGGGGGGUGGGUGAGUGGCGAACGGGUGAGUAACACGUGAGUAACCUGCCCCCUUCUUCGGGAUAACGGUCUGAAAGGGCUGCUAAUACCGGGUAUUCACUGGUCUCCGCAUGGGGUCUGGUGGAAAGGUUUUUUUCUGGUGGGGGAUGGGCUCGCGGCCUAUCAGCUUGUUGGUGGGGUGAUGGCCCACCAAGGCUUUGACGGGUAGCCGGCCUGAGAGGGUGACCGGUCACAUUGGGACUGAGAUACGGCCCAGACUCCUACGGGAGGCAGCAGUGGGGAAUAUUGCGCAAUGGGCGCAAGCCUGAUGCAGCGACGCCGCGUGAGGGAUGGAGGCCUUCGGGUUGUGAACCUCUUUCGCCCGUGGUCAAGCCGCGACGUGGGUCGUGGUGAGGGUAGUGGGUAAAGAAGCGCCGGCUAACUACGUG
rnacentral:rRNA from 1 species